GGGAAGGCCCCCACGAAGUUUGAGUCAAAUAAAAAAAAUACAAAAAUAUAAAUGGUCGAAAUCGGCCGAUUUCGUAGAGAGUUGCUCUGCUGUAUGAUUUCUCAAAAGCCAAAAAACUAACCAACUUUUACAAACUGUACCGAUGUUUUUAUUUAUGCAUUCAACUCAUUUUGUUGAGAACUAAAAUAGCUUACUAGACCACUAAAUUCACUUGAACAUUCAGCAUCAACCGUAACAUUCCCGUUAUUUUCUGAUGGAGCUGUAGGAGAUUCCACUGGUUGAUCUUCAGCAUUUACAGGUUCAAAAGUGAAUGAUUGGCGUGACGAUGAUUCGUGGAGUCCACUUGAAGAUGAUAAUGAACCCGUAUUGAUAUUGGCAGCUGGUUGCGCCCUUUGUGGAAAAUUUGAUGAUGGAGCGUAUGCACCUAUGGAUUAUACAAAAAGUCGAAACCCAAGGAUGUCGGAUGAGGAUGACCCGGAUGACACACUAAAUUACACAACUUGCGCGUAGGGAAUGGGUAAGAAGGACAGAAUGAGAGCCACACUGAAAGCCCAACCAUAGCAAUUGUAUAUUGUAGAGGUAAAUUAAGAAUAUGCACCGACGUAUUGACAAUGAACUGUGUCCUACAAGCACUGUCUACGCCCCACGGUGUCAAAUCAGAAUUUCGCGAAGCGAAAGUGCAACAAAAUUGUGUAAUCGUUCAAACAUUUAUAUCUUCAAACAAAAUCAAGCAAUCUUUAUGUUUUACCUACCAAACGAAAGGCACCGAUCCACGUAGCCCAGUGGUAACGCUUCCGCCUCGUAAGUGGUAGAUCGGGGUUCAAAUCCCGGUUCGGACCAACACAACUGGAGAUCUAUUCCCUGCUGGAUUUCGAUUUCGAUAGAGUUUUAUGCUCCAGACCCCAAGUUGUCGGAUGAUACAAAUAAAUAAACAACAAUAAACAACUACACAUUAGGGAAGGCGACCUAUAGAAUGUUAAAAUUAACCUUAACAUGUUAACAUUAAGUUAAUAAAUAGCCACUGAAUCCAGGGGCAGGACACACC